UGGCGGACGGGUGAGUAACGCGUGAGCAACCUGCCCUUCGGGAGGGGGAUAGUGUCUGGAAACGGACAGUAAUACCGCAUAACGUAUUUUUACCGCAUGAUAGAAAUACCAAAACUGAGGUGCCGAAGGAUGGGCUCGCGUUGGAUUAGAUAGUUGGUGGGGUAACGGCCUACCAAGUCAACGAUCCAUAGCCGGACUGAGAGGUUGAACGGCCACAUUGGGACUGAGACACGGCCCAGACUCCUACGGAAGGCAGCAG
rnacentral:rRNA from 1 species